rnacentral:rRNA from 1 species
UUGUCCGGAUUUACUGGGUGUAAAGGGUGCGUAGGCGGCUAGGCAAGUCAGACGUGAAAACCAUGGGCUCAACCUGUGGACUGCGUUUGAAACUGUUUAGCUUGAGUGAAGUAGAGGUAGGCGGAAUUCCCGGUGUAGCGGUGAAAUGCGUAGAGAUCGGGAGGAACACCAGUGGCGAAGGCGGCCUACUGGGCUUUAACUGACGCUGAGGCACGAAAGCAUGGGUAGCAAACAGGAUUAGAUACCCUGGUAGUCCAUGCCGUAAACGAUGAUUACUAGGUGUGGGGGGUCUGACCCCCUCCGUGCCGGAGUUAACGCAAUAAGUAAUCCACCUGGGGAGUACGUCCGCAAGGUUGAAACUCGA